rnacentral:rRNA from 1 species
UCCAGCCUGCCCAGUGACAAAAUUUAACGGCCGCGGUACCCUGACCGUGCGAAGGUAGCAUAAUCACUUGUUCUUUAAAUAGGGACUAGUAUCAACGGCAUCACGAGGGUUACACUGUCUCCUUUCUCCAAUCAGUGAAACUGAUCUUCCCGUGAAGAAGCGGGAAUACACCCAUAAGACGAGAAGACCCCAUGGAGCUUUAAAUUUCACAGCAACUCAGUCACAUAAAUCCUUAUAAUUAACAGAGCUAUGCAUGCCAAUUUUAGGUUGGGGUGACCGCGGAGUAUAAGACAACCUCCACAUCGAAAAGAACUAAAUCUUUAUUUAAGAGCUACAACUCUAAAAAUUAGUAUACUAACGAAUAAUGAUCCGAUAAUCGAUCAACGGACCAAGUUACCCUGGGGAUAACAGCGCAAUCUACUUCAAGAGCCCAUAUCGACAAGUAGGCUUACGACCUCGAUGUUGGAUCAGGGUAUCCUAGUGGUGCAGCCGCUACUAAUGGUUCGUUUGUUCAACGAUUAAAACCCUACGUGAU